GAAAUGAUUGUCUGAUACGAAUGGAGGGUUUUAAACAGUUUGUGUCUUAUAUGUUGAAAGAGACAAAUUGUGCAUUCAGUUCUUAUUAUGUUAAAAAAACGUUUCUUAGUAAUACAUUGAAUGUUAUGGAGAAAUAUCCUAAUAAGAAAAUGGUCCAAUAUUGGGCAAGUAAAUUGUCCAGAAUAUAUUUGAAAGAUGUUGAUAUUUCUGAGAUUCAAGUGGAAAAAUUUCACACUGUGUUUAUGAACACAAUUCAUGAAUUUUCCACUGAUGAGUUCAUCCAAGUUGAAUGUAUUACUUUGUUCUUAAAGAUUUUCUUCUACAGUGACAGAUUGGAAAAUUAUAAGUCCCAUUUGAUAGAUGCUUUUAAUUCUGUGUUAGAACAAAUUGUUCUAUAUCCUCAAGUAGUGCAUAUUUUAGAAAACUUUCACAAACCACAACUACCUCAAUGGAAAUACAUUUAAUUUAUUUUUGUGUGAAUAACUGGAUGGUACCAGAUGCUAAUAUGAUCACCCUACAAGCUCGAUUACAGAUUGUUUUAUCUGCAUUUGGCGAUAAUUCUAUUGUAUUAGAAAUAUGUGCGACGUUGUUCGUAAAAUAUUUUCUCGAAAAUCUUGAAAUUGUACCUGAAGAUGUUGAUAAAAUAGGAAGCACAUUAGAAUCCGAAUUCAUUGGAUGGGAAAUUUCAGACUUUAUGAAGAAGAAACUUAAGUCUAAAAUAGAAAAAAACCUAAAUGAUUACUGAAAAGAUGAUGGAAAGUUUAUAAAAUGUAAGUAUUUUUUAACAAUGAUACAGAAUAUUAUUGAUUUUUGGUGAUUACAUAUAUAUUUCAAAUAAUUCAAACAACUAAAUAAUGCCACAACCAAAUAUUACCCUGCAUAGUAGUAUACCCUGUACAUAUUUAGUUAUCAUAAUUGUCCAGCUCAGAAUCGCUGUAAUCGUUAUUUCGACAAAGCAAUCGCUUCUUAAUUUGAUCCUUGAAGUCAUUUUUUACGGUGUUUUUGAUGCCCCAUUUUGACAAAAGCUCUAGUAUUAUUUUAUCAAUAACCUGCAGCUGUUUACUUUUGUUUUCUGUGUUUUGUAUUUUGAUUAAAUGUUCCGAAGUUAUAUAAAUCGUAAUAAAAACUUUCGCACAUAACCAAAUUGUAGCUGUAUCAGUUUUCUUUGAUAAAAUUUGUUCUAUUGUUUGCUGAACUGAAUUAGAUGUCUUAGGACCAUAUACCAAACAUAAUAACUUGCUAAAAUAAAGAUAAUUAGUAAUAAUCUUUAGUUUCAUACCAAAAUAAAUAUAUACCUUUUUGGAAUUUUACCCCAAAAAUUUUCUUUUAUGUCACCUUGACCAUUACCGGAUUUUAAUAAAAGAAGUAUGACGUCAGAAAUAUGUUCUUGGAACUCUUUUAAUUCUUGGAUUUGCAUAUUAAUCAACAGUGAUUUUAUUAUUUUCUCAAUGAUGUUCCCUUGUUCAGUUGUAUUUUGCUCCCUUCGAAUUUCCUCAAAAUGUUCUUUGGUUAUAUAGAGCGAAACAAAAACUUCUGCACAUAAAUUAAGCAUGUCCUUUUUUUCAGAUAGGAUCACUGGUAUUGUUUCCCGAACUAAGUCAGAUAUAUUUGGACCAUAUUUAUGACAUCGUUAGUAUAAGUUACAGUGCGUAAAUUGGAGAGUUAAGAUUACGCGAAUCUUCGGGAUUAUCAUUCAAAAAAUAUUGCAUUACGUCGUAUGCAUGACUCUGCAAUAGUUUAUAUCCACUUAGUCCAAUA